rfam:Trichomonas vaginalis G3, whole genome shotgun sequence.
GCUCCUGUAGCGAAAUGGAUAUCGCGUGUCCCUCCUAAGGAUAAGACUGUGGGUUCGAGUCCCACCUGGGGCU